AGAGUUUGAUCCUGGCUCAGAGUGAACGCUGGCGGCAGGCCUAAUACAUGCAAGUCGAACGGCAGCACAGCAGAGCUUGCUCUGUGGGUGGCGAGUGGCGGACGGGUGAGGAAUACGUGGGAAUCUGCCCAGUCGUGGGGGAUAACGUAGGGAAACUUACGCUAAUACCGCAUGCGCCCUUCGGGGGAAAGCCGGGGACCUUCGGGCCUGGCGCGAUUGGAUGAGCCCACGUCGGAUUAGCUAGUUGGCGGGGUAAAGGCCCACCAAGGCGACGAUCCGUAGCUGGUCUGAGAGGAUGAUCAGCCACACUGGAACUGAGACACGGUCCAGACUCCUACGGGAGGCAGCAGUAGGGAAUAUUGGACAAUGGGCGCAAGCCUGAUCCAGCCAUGCCGCGUGAGUGAAGAAGGCCCUCGGGUUGUAAAGCUCUUUUGUCCGGAAAGAAAAGCGCCGGGUUAAUACCCUGGUGUCCUGACGGUACCGGAAGAAUAAGCACCGGCUAACUUCGUGCCAGCAGCCGCGGUAAUACGAAGGGUGCAAGCGUUACUCGGAAUUACUGGGCGUAAAGCGUGCGUAGGUGGUUCGUUAAGUCCGAUGUGAAAGCCCUGGGCUCAACCUGGGAAUGGCAUUGGAUACUGGCGGGCUAGAGUGCGGUAGAGGGUAGUGGAAUUCCCGGUGUAGCAGUGAAAUGCGUAGAGAUCGGGAGGAACAUCCGUGGCGAAGGCGACUACCUGGACCAGCACUGACACUGAGGCACGAAAGCGUGG
rnacentral:rRNA from 1 species